rnacentral:rRNA from 1 species
AACGAACGCUGGCGGCAUGCCUAACACAUGCAAGUCGAACGAGACCUUCUGGUCUAGUGGUGCACGGGUUCGUAACGCGUUGGAACCUGCCCUUAGGUUCGGAAUAACUCCCCGAAAUGGGUGCUAAUACCUGAUAAUGUCUUCGGACCAAAGAUUUAUCGCCCUUGGAUGGGCCCGCGUUGGAUUAGCUAGUUGGUAGGGUAAAAGACUACCAAGUCGACGAUCCAUAGCUGGUCUGAGAGGAUGAUCAGCCACACUGGGACUGAGACACGGCCAAGACUCCUACGGGAGGCAGCAGUGGGGAAUAGUGGACGAGGGGAGAAAGCCUGAUCCAGCAAUGCCGCGUGAGUGAUGAAGGCCUUAGGGUUGUAAAGCUCUUUUACCCGGGAUGAUAAUGACAGUACCGGGAGAAUAAGCUCCGGCUAACUCCGUG